CAUUUUGAUCAGGACACAUUCGGUGGUUUUAUCCAGGGCUACGAGUUCGACUGCGAGAGAGGAGACGCGGUGGCUCAUGGGCUGGUGACCGUGGAGUGCGACCCUGACACCAUCAGCCACCGGGAGGCGACGUUCCUCGUCCUGAGGAGGGGCGAGUCCGGGAGGAGGGACGCGGUGAGGAUGUUCGAAGCGACCUGCAGGCUCAGGGGAUCCGUGGCGAUCGCCAACGCCUUCCUCGUCGCCAAUUGUGAUGGCCUCAAGAGAUGGAGUAUUUUAGAUACUUGCAUACGGAUGAUCAUUACAACAUUGUCAGACAUGGGGAUAAGAAAUGUAAGUCACGGGGGCAUGUCAAACCCUGAAAGUUAUGCUCUUACCGAAAGUCUAGACAUCAAGUUGAUUAACAUGGGCAAAAAUGAAAAUUCGAGGACGUAUCAGCACGACCUUGCAGAUUUUGGUACAUUUCUGUGCCAGACUCCAUACAUCGGUGCCUCCAAAUGCACUAGUUGGACGGGAUUUCAUUUCUUAAUAAAUUCAAAUGCAAUGUCACAACGGUACUUAUGGGCUGACAUAGUUAAGGGGCAUCCACUUUUUCUUGAUCCGCCAUCAAAACUUAGAUGUUACAUUUAUUUGAAUCAAGCUUAUAAAGGAAUUAGCAUCUAUGAAGAUAUCAUCACUUUUGUAAAGAACAUGAUACUUCAUGGAAGACAGGAGCUCAUGAAUGCAAAUGGGGGGCGAUGGUCAGAUGCACAUUUCUGCCACAAAAUAGGGCAACUUUUUCCAGGGUUCAUGAGUGUGGCCUACGCACUUUCAAAGGCUACAAGGAGUGACUUGAAUAAGUUGCUGGGAAGGGCUUGA
rnacentral:lncRNA from 1 species